GUUUGCCUACGGGGCGCAGCAGUGAGGAAUAUUGGUCAAUGGGCGGGAGCCUGAACCAGCCAAGUCGCGUGAGGGAAGACGGUCCUAUGGAUUGUAAACCUCUUUAGGCGGGGAGCAAUGCCGGGCACGCGUGCCCGGAGGGAGGGUACCCGCAGAAUAAGCAUCGGCUAACUCCGUGCCAGCAGCCGCGGUAAUACGGAGGAUGCGAGCGUUAUCCGGAUUUAUUGGGUUUAAAGGGUGCGUAGGCGGAUUUUUCAGUCAGCGGU
rnacentral:rRNA from 1 species